rnacentral:rRNA from 1 species
UGGGGGAUAGUGAGGGGAUAAAUUUCCUUAAGGAACUCGGCAAAAAUCCCAAUGGCCCACCAGGGCAUAAAUUGGAACACGGGCCUCGACUGUUUACCAAAAACAUAGCCCUCGGCCAAUAUGAAAAUAGAAGUAUGGAGGGUGAGGCCUGCCCAAUGGUUGUAUCUAAAAGCGGUUGAUAAAAGUCGACCGCGUAAGGACAAUUGAAUGGCCGCGGUAACACUGACCGUGAUAAUGUAGCGUAAUCAAUAGCCAAUUAAUUGUUGGCCAGUAUGAAUGGCGCCACGAAGGCCCCACUGUCUUAAGGAAAUUCCCAGUGAAAUUGAAUUCGUAGUGAAGAUGCUACGUCCAAUUUGUUAGACGAAAAGACCCCGUUGAGCUUUACUGGGGCACUUACACGGCCCCGGCCUUCAAGACUGGGUUGAUAAGCCAAGGCUUACUAUACCUAGGGACCGGCCGAAUUUAAAUGGGCGGCUUAGACUAUGUGGCAGCCCCCCCCCGUCGGGGCAGAUGAAACCCCACUCCCCCAUGUCAAAGGGGCUAACCCCCCCCCCUUGGGGGGGACAAUGUAAGUAGGACAGUUUGGUUGGGGCGACCGCCUUUUAGAGAGUAACGAAGGUGCGCUUAAGGUGCGUAAUUAAUGACUGAAGCCUGACUGCGAGGGGGACACCCCGAGCAGACACCCCCAAGCCCGCCCUUCAAGGGCGGCGGUGGGGUGGGCCAUAGUGACCCGUUAAUUUAGAGUGGAAUAGUUAACGAUCAACGAAUAAAAG